rnacentral:sRNA from 1 species
CACGAUAUAUUUUUGUUUCUCUCUUCUGGACACCAGUUCUGACUCAACUAAAAUGUCUCUGGAAACAUUUGUUCUUGGAUCUUUACUACACAGUGUGGCAGCUGAGUCUGGCGAUGACAACAAUGCAGGAGGCAUCUACCUUGCCACAAUAUUGGUGGUCAUUUUGGUAAUAGGAGUGAUCCUCUUCUUGGUCAGACGUUCUUCUUCGGAUUACAACUACGGAGGGGUGUCCAGUGCUAAAUAUGGGAUGAAGAAAAACCAGUCCGACUAGUGAUGUUUAGAUUUACGGUCACGGCUGUUGUGCAUUAAUUACAUUUGUGUUCAAAUAUAUUAGAGAAAACAUUA